CGCGGGCGUACCCCGAGGCGGUAAGGGGCAACCGGUUGCUUUCCAUUUGAGCGGCCGGUUGGAAUGCAGGUUCGAUUCCUGCCCCCGUAG
rnacentral:tRNA from 1 species